rnacentral:misc_RNA from 1 species
GUGAAUCAUCGAAUUUUUGAACGCAAAUUGCAAUCUCUUCGGAGAGUAUGCCUGUUUGAGGGUCAGCCUAAAAAAAAUAAACAUAGUUGCUGUUACGCGGUAACAUUAGUCGGAUAUUGGGUCAUCUUAAACCUUUGGGCUUAAGCGGCUUAAAAUUUUCUUUACGAUUCCAAGAACGUUUCUAAGUUUUUAUUUUCUUUUUCGUUUAAGGUAUCGAUAUUUAUUAGAAGUAGACGUUGCAUCGGAUCUCGUCUGUAAAUAUGUAGU